rnacentral:rRNA from 1 species
UACGUAGGGUGCGAGCGUUAAUCGGAAUUACUGGGCGUAAAGCGUGCGCAGGCGGCUUUGCAAGACAGAUGUGAAAUCCCCGGGCUCAACCUGGGAACUGCAUUUCUGACUGCAAGGCUAGAGUACGGCAGAGGGGGAUGGAAUUCCGCGUGUAGCAGUGAAAUGCGUAGAUAUGCGGAGGAACACCAAUGGCGAAGGCAAUCCCCUGGGCCUGUACUGACGCUCAUGCACGAAAGCGUGGGGAGCAAACAGG